rnacentral:rRNA from 1 species
GACGAACGCUGGCGGCGUGCUUAACACAUGCAAGUCGAACGAUGAAGCCGGAGCUUGCUCCGGUGGAUUAGUGGCGAACGGGUGAGUAACACGUGAGCAAUCUGCCCUUGACUCUGGGAUAACUGCGGGAAACUGUAGCUAAUACCGGAUACGACACCUUGGGGCAUCCCAGGGUGUGGAAAGAAUUUCGGUCAAGGCUGCGCUCGCGGCCUAGCAGCUAGUUGGUGAGGUAAUGGCUCACCAAGGCGACGACGGGUAGCCGGCCUGAGAGGGUGACCGGCCACACUGGAACAGAGACACGGUCCAGACUCCUACGGGAGGCAGCAGUGGGGAAUAUUGCACAAUGGGCGAAAGCCUGAUGCAGCAACGCCGCGUGAGGGAUGAAGGCCUUCGGGUUGUAAACCUCUUUUAGCAGGGAAGAAGCGAAAGUGACGGUACCUGCAGAAAAAGCACCGGCUAACUACGUGCCAGCCGCCGCAGUAA